rnacentral:rRNA from 1 species
GACGAACGCUGGCGGCGUGCCUAACACAUGCAAGUCGAACGGAAAGGCCCUGCUUUUGUGGGGUGCUCGAGUGGCGAACGGGUGAGUAACACGUGAGUAACCUGCCCUUGACUUUGGGGUAACUUCAGGAAACUGGGGCUAAUACCGCACAGGAGCUCCCGCUGCAUGGUGGGGGUUGGAAAGUUUCGGCGGUUGGGUAUGGACUCGCGGCGUAUCGGCUUGUUGGUGGGGUAAUGGGUUACCAAGGCUGUCAUGGGUAGCCGGACGGAGGGGGGGGCCGGCCACAUUGGGAGGGGGACGGGCACCAUGGGCCUGAGGGACGGAGCAGAAGGGAAUGGGGGGCAAUGGUGGGGAAUCUGGCACAACGGGGCGGAGUCGGAGGAGGAAAUGUCCGGGUCGGGAAGCCCGGCUUUUGGUGAAAAACCGGUUUUGGCUUAGAAGAAGGCGGAGUGACGGUAACUGGUAAAGAAGCACCGGCUAACUACGUG